UACGGAGGGUGCGAGCGUUGUCCGGAAUCAUUGGGCGUAAAGGGCGCGUAGGCGGCCUGUUAAGUAGGGGGUGAAAUCCUGCGGCUUAACCGCAGGGCUGCCUUCUAAACUGUCAGGCUAGAGCACAGUAGAGGCAGGUGGAAUUCCCGGUGUAGCGGUGGAAUGCGUAGAGAUCGGGAAGAACAUCAGUGGCGAAGGCGGCCUGCUGGGCUGUUGCUGACGCUGAGGCGCGACAGCGUGGGGAGCAAACAGG
rnacentral:rRNA from 1 species